GUGGGGAAUUUUGGACAAUGGGCGAAAGCCUGAUCCAGCAAUGCCACGUGUGUGAAGAAGGCCUUCGGGUUGUAAAGCACUUUUGGCAGGGAAGAAACAGUGCGUGCUAAUACCAUGCGCGAAUGACGGUACCUGCAGAAUAAGCACCGGCUAACUACGUGCCAGCAGCCGCGGUAAUACGUAGGGUGCAAGCGUUAAUCGGAAUUACUGGGCGUAAAGCGUGCGCAGGAGGCUUUGUAAGACGGAUGUGAAAGCCCCGGGCUCAACCAGGGAAGUGCAUUCGAGACUGCAAGGCUAGAGUGUGUCAGAGGGAGGUGGAAUUCCGCGUGUAGCAGUGAAAUGCGUAGAGAUGCGGAGGAACACCGAUGGCGAAGGCAGCCUCCUGGGAUAACACUGACGCUCAGGCACGAAAGCGUGGGGAGCAAACAGGAUUAGAAACCCGUGUAGUCC
rnacentral:rRNA from 1 species